rnacentral:rRNA from 1 species
CGGGUGGUAAUGCCGGAUGCUCCAGUUGAUCGCAUGGUCUUCUGGGAAAGCUUUCGCGGUAUGGGAUGGGGUCGCGUCCUAUCAGCUUGACGGCGGGGUAACGGCCCACCGUGGCUUCGACGGGUAGCCGGCCUGAGAGGGCGACCGGCCACAUUGGGACUGAGAUACGGCCCAGACUCCUACGGGAGGCAGCAGUGGGGAAUAUUGCACAAUGGGCGCAAGCCUGAUGCAGCGACGCCGCGUGAGGGAUGGAGGCCUUCGGGUUGUAAACCUCUUUUAUCGGGGAGCAAGCGUGAGUGAGUUUACCCGUUGAAUAAGCACCGGCUAACUACGUGCCAGCAGCCGCGGUAAUACGUAGGGUGCAAGCGUUAUCCGGAAUUAUUGGGCGUAAAGGGCUCGUAGGCGGUUCGUCGCGUCCGGUGUGAAAGUCCAUCGCUUAACGGUGGAUCCGCGCCGGGUACGGGCGGGCUUGAGUGCGGUAGGGGAGACUGGAAUUCCCGGUGUAACGGUGGAAUGUGUAGAUAUCGGAAA